GCCUGGCUGGCUCAGUCAGUUGAGUGUCCGACUUCAGCUCAGGUCAUGAUCUCACGGCUUGUGGGUUCAAGCCCCGCAUCAGGCU
rnacentral:tRNA from 1 species